GGACCAUCAUGUCGGUCGUGCCUCGGUACGUACCGGCAUUUUUGGUUUCUCCCUUCUGACGAACCAUGAUGUCAUUUAUUUGGUGUCGUGGGAAAUCAGGACUGUUACUUUGAAAAAAUUAGAGUGUUUAAAGCAGGCUCACGCUUGAAUACAUUAGCAUGGAAUAAUGAAAUAGGACGGCAUGAUUCUAUUUUGUUGGUUUCUAGGAUCACCGUAAUGA
rnacentral:rRNA from 1 species